ACGUGAAACCCUGUGGGAAGCAGGAGGGACCACCCUCCAAGGCUAAAUACUACCUAGUGACCGAUAGCGUAUAGUACCGUGAGGGAAAGGUGAAAAGAACCCCGGGAGGGGAGUGAAAUAGAACCUGAAACCCUGCACUUACAAGCUGUGGAAGCACAUUUCUUGUGUGACCGCGUACUUUUUGUAGAACGGGCCAACGAGUUACGUUAAGUAGCAAGGUUAAGCACUUAAGGUGCGGAGCCGUAGCGAAAGCGAGUUUUAACUGAGCGUUCAGUUACUUGACGUAGACCCGAAACCGGGCGACCUACCCAUGAGCAGGAUGAAGCGAAAGUAAAAUUUCGUGGAGGUCCGAACCCACGAGCGUUGAAAAGCUCGGGGAUGACUUGUGGGUAGCGGUGAAAUUCCAAUCGAGCCCGGAGAUAGCUGGUUCUCCCCGAAAUAGCUUUAGGGCUAGCCUCAAGGUGAGAGAUACGGAGGUAGAGCACUGAAUGUCCUAGGGGGUAUUGCACCUACCGAAGACUAUCAAACUCCGAAUGCCGUCAUCUUAUACUUGGGAGUCAGACUGUGGGUGAUAAGAUUCAUAGUCGAAAGGGCAACAGCCCAGAUCGUCAGCUAAGGUCCCUAAAUGUAAGUUAAGUGGUAAAGGAUGUGGGAUUGCACAGACAACCAGGAUGUUGGCUUAGAAGCAGCCACUCAUUCAAAGAGUGCGUAAUAGCUCACUGGUCGAGUGAUCCUGCGCCGAAGAUUUCCGGGGCUAAAACUUACUACCGAAGCUACGGCAUCAGUAAUGAUGGGUAGGGGAGCUUCCCAUACGGGUUGAAGCAUGACCGUAAGGACAUGUGGACAGUAUGGGAGUGAGAAUGUUGGCAUGAGUAGCGAGAUGUGGGUGAGAAUCCCACAGGCCGUAAACCCAAGGUUUCCAGGGGAAGGUUCGUCCGCCCUGGGUUAGUCGGGACCUAAGCUGAGGCCGAAAGGCGUAGGUGAUGGACAACAGGUUGAUAUUCCUGUACUACCGAUAACCGUUUGAGAGAAGGGAUGACACAGUAGGAUAAGCUAAGCACACUGUUGGUUAUGUGUGCCCAAGCAUUGAGGCAGUCAAAGUAGGCAAAUCCGCUUUGAUAAUGCUGGGAUGUGAUGGGGAGCGAAAUUUAGUAGCGAAGUAGCUGAUUUCACACUGUCAAGAAAAGUCUCUAUCGAGGUUAAAGGUACCCGUACCGCAAACCGACACAGGUGGGUGAGGAGAGUAUCCUAAGGCCAGCGAGAGAACUGUUGUUAAGGAACUCGGCAAAAUGACCCCGUAACUUAGGGAUAAGGGGUGCCACCAUCAGGUGGCCGCAGAGAAUAGGCCCAAGCGACUGUUUACCAAAAACAUAGGUUUCUGCUAAGUCGCAAGACGAUGUAUAGGAGCUGACGCCUGCCCGGUGCUGGAAGGUUAAGGGGAUCUGUUAGAGCAAUCGAAGCAGUGAACUUAAGCCCCAGUAAACGGCGGCCGUAACUAUAACGGUCCUAAGGUAGCGAAAUUCCUUGUCGGGUAAGUUCCGACCCGCACGAAAGGCGUAACGAUUUGGGCACUGUCUCAACAACAGACUCGGUGAAAUUGUAAUUCCGGUGAAGAUGCCGGAUACCUGCGACAGGACGGAAAGACCCCAUGGAGCUUUACUGUAGCUUGACAUUGGGUCUUGGUACUACAUGUACAGGAUAGGUGGGAGGCUUUGAAACCAGGACGCCAGUUUUGGCGGAGCCAUCCUUGGGAUACCACCCUUGUAGUACUGGGACUCUAACCAUAGGCCAUGAAUCUGGUCUUGGGACACUGUCAGGUGGGCAGUUUGACUGGGGCGGUCGCCUCCCAAAAGGUAACGGAGGCGCUCAAAGGUUCUCUCAGUACGGUCGGAAAUCGUACGUAGAGUGUAAAGGCAAAAGAGAGCUUGAUUGCAAGACAUACAGGUCGAGCAAGGAUGAAAAUCGGACUUAGUGAUCCGGUGGUUCUGCGUGGAAGGGCCAUCGCUCAACGGAUAAAAGCUACCCUGGGGAUAACAGGCUUAUCUCCCCCAAGAGUCCACAUCGACGGGGAGGUUUGGCACCUCGAUGUCGGCUCAUCACAUCCUGGGGCUGUAGUAGGUCCCAAGGGUUGGGCUGUUCGCCCAUUAAAGUGGUACGCGAGCUGGGUUCAGAACGUCGUGAGACAGUUCGGUCCCUAUCCGUCGCAGGCGUAGGAAAUUUGAGAAGACCUGUCCUUAGUACGAGAGGACCGGGAUGGACG
rnacentral:rRNA from 1 species